rnacentral:misc_RNA from 1 species
CUUAUUUAGAGGAAGUAAAAGUCGUAACAAGGUAACCGUAGGUGAACCUGCGGUUGGAUCAUUAACAAUUAUUAUUGAGCUCUUCCUCCCUCUUUUUACCGAGGGGGUGGUAGGUUCUCUAACACUUGUGUGCACUGUUUAUUGUCUCUCGGCGUUCGAGGGUUGGGUUUUGGAUGGAGCUUGCUUCAGAUAUACCCUUGGGCUUUUAAUACGGCCUUGACCUACCCCUGAGCGCCAACUUAAAAACUUGAAUUUUAUACUAUAAGCCUUUAAUUUUAAAUUUAUAAUUUGAAAACAACUUUUAACAACGGAUCUCUAGGCUCUCA